AGAAUCAACGCUGGCGGCGUGCCUAACACAUGCAAGUCGAACGAGAAAGUGGAGCAAUCCAUGAGUAAAGUGGCGACCGGGUGAGUAACACGUGACUAACCUACCUUCGAGUGGGGGAUAACCUCGGGAAACCGAGGCUAAUACCGCAUAACAUCGUGAGAUCAAAGCAGUAAUGCGCUGGAAGAGGGGUCGCGGCUGAUUAGCUAGUUGGCGGGGUAAUGGCCCACCAAGGCGAAGAUCGGUA
rnacentral:rRNA from 1 species